rnacentral:rRNA from 1 species
UAGCCGUAAACGAUACUCGCUAGGUGUCGGCCACGGUGCGACCGUUGUCGGUGCCGUAGGGAAGCCGUGAAGCGAGCCACCUGGGAAGUACGGCCGCAAGGCUGAAACUUAAAGGAAUUGGCGGGGGGAGCACCACAACGGGUGGAGCUUGCGGUUUAAUUGGAUUCAACGCCGGAAAUCUUACCGGGACCGACAGCAACAUGAAGGCCAAGCUGAAGACUUUGCCGGAUUAGCUGAGAGGUGGUGCAUGGCGUAGUCGUGU